rnacentral:lncRNA from 1 species
ACGCACCCCUCAACUCACUUCCCCUCUUCGCCUCCCCCCCUUUCCCUCAAAAGAACCGUACUGUAUGUUUUAUAUAACUAUACAAUAACUUACAGUUACAUGAGAAAUAAUAGCUAACAUCUCACAAAUUGAACUCUACAAAGAAUCACAAUUUGGUUUCCUCUCUGCAACCUAGGGUUUCAUUCUUCUUCUCAUCAAGGUAAGCUCUAAACUUGUAGUAAAUUAUUUUGAAAUUGGGCAUUUUUUUAUGUUAUCAAUUCUCUCUCUGUUUUUCAAAUAUUGAGUUUCUUCUUAUAAUUACAUAUGCUUCAAAUUUAUAAUUACAGGUAUGUUUUAUGAAUAUUGAUGUUGAAUGUGCAGAAGUUGUUUCUUUAUUUUCAUUGAAUUUUGCUCGUUACAUAAUAGCUAUGUGUAUUCAUCUUUAGAGCAGAUUAUUUUUUGGAAUUGGGUUUGAUUGCAUAUUGUUAUUGGGAAAAAAGCUUCUCAAUAUCUGGUCAUGAUUGUAUUGUAAACUUUCUCUAGUGAAAGUAGGGGUGGGCACAAAAAUAAAAAAGAAACCCAAAAACGUGCUAGAAGGGGGAAUGUAGGAACUAGGAUAGCAGUCAAGUUCUCAAGUCAUAAUGGAGGCUAGCAAGAAUGGGCACCAAAAUCUCCACUUCGGGUCCUUCUGAAACGAACUUUGCCAUACUUGCUCCAUUUUAGGCACAAAUAUAUGAAUCAGAUAAAUUAUUGACUUGAUAUAAACUGCCUAAAGUCUAUUUCUUGUAAUUACCGGUUGUCCUUGAAAAUCUGCUUUAAUAUGCAGCUAGAAUAGGGUGAACUAAUGUCUAUGAACAAACAGGUUGUAAGAAAGUCGCUAAUUCUAACCGCAAAACAGGUCUACGUCUGAACCUAAUUAAGUUGGUUCUUCGGUACAGGUUCUUCGUUUUUCGGUACGGUCUUCGGUAUUGGGAUAUCAAUAUUUCGGUUCUUCGGUUAGGUAUUCGGUAUUAAGGUUUCUAAAUUUCGGUAUACCGAAAUACCAAAUUUUUUUAGUAUGCAUAUUAAGUAGCUUAAUUUAAUCAAAUCUGAGUCCAACCCAUAAAUCCAUCCAAGUCUCAUUUUUCCUUUUAGCUUAUCAGAAUACAUUGAAAUUACUAUUACAGUGAAGUAAUAAAAUUAAGCUUGAGAAAAUUUGGUUUAUUUGCUGCUACUACCUCAAUUCAAUGCCAUAUUCUGUUUAUUGCAUAAACUUUUACUGAUCUUUAUAAAUAGAAAACAUUUUUUGUCUAUCAUUAACUAAGAAUAUUGAUCUUCAAUAACUACUAAAAGAUGUGUACUUACUGCAUCUAAUAAAUUAGCAAGAAUAAUAUGUGAUUAUCUCAUAAUAUAACAGAACAUUCAACUUUAAGUAAUCUAGACUCAAAAUACAUAGAAUAACUUCUGCUUCUAACCCCUUAAACAAUAAGUAGAAUUCCAAAAUUUCGCAAGGUCAAUAUCGCUACUGGGAGUGGAUUUUGCUGCAUUUUCAUUUUGUGAGUUUGUAUAAUCCGUUGGUUAACCAGAUGACGUCAUAUUUGUUAUCGUGCUUUCUUCUAUUUUUCAUGUCAACAACUCAGGUCCCUCGCUCUUUUUUGUUGAAGGAUGAAAUAAAUAAAUAAUUGUUGUGCAUGAACUCUGUUGAUCACCAUCCUGCUUCACUAUGAAAGGCUUCUGUAUUUUUCAAUCUCUUAUUUUUCGAUCACUUAUAGAACCCAUUUUUCCUUAGCUAAACUUUUUCCUUUUCUUUUAUGAUAUAUCGACAAGAUAAUAUAAUAUUUUAUCUAAUUUUGGUACUUUUCUAUAUUCAAGAAUGUGCUAUAAAACUUUUACAUUUUUUUAUGAAUAGACAAUGAACUUAUUUCAAGUAUUUAGAUAAUUCUAAUUCACUGGCAUAUUACUGGAUAGCAGUCAACUAAUCAGAUACCUCUGCUCCUGGAUUUCUACAAAGAUAUCUAUUUUGUUCUUUGAAGUGUAACUUUCAUAUAUUCUUUAGCACAUAGUGUUUUUAGUAAUAUACAAAAAGUAAUAGCAAGUGUUUGUAGGUACAAAAAGAAAUGGUAGUGUCUCUACAAUAUGGAGGUGCGACCUUUUUCAUUUUUCUUUUCAACUCUUUAUUGAUAUUGAGCAGCAUUAGAUAGUUUCAUUCAAGAUACAAACAAACACAAUAGUAGUAGGAAAAAAAUGACAUAAAUUUCAUGAAUUAGCUUGUUUGAUAUUUUUAUCUCAAUGUAAUUAUGUGUGCUGAUACCAAAAAAGAUUCUUGAUCAAAGGAAAGUCCCUGAAUUAACUAGAGAAAAUGUCGCCAGCCAUUUGCAGGUUUACUUCUGAAUACAUAUAUUUAACUAUAAUUGGUAUCAUGGCUUUCACAUAUUAAAUAGGUUAAGUUAUGUUUGAUUUCUGUAUUACUUGGUUUGAACUAGUCCAUGUAGGUGAAGUAAUGUUUGACUUCUGUAUUACUUGGUUUGAACUAGUGCAUAAUUUCAUAAAAUAGGAGAACAUAGAUUUCCGUAUUUUGUCUUACUUCAAUUAUUAAGUUAUUCAUGACUAUCUAUAUGGAUAUCAACCGCCCAUCAGCUUUGAUCAUUAGAACCUCACUUUGUUUGAUUCUUAUAUUAUGAUAAUGUAACACUCUUUUACACCAGUCAUACCAACCGCUUCUUAUUACGGUACAUUACUUUUUUUUGUUCAGUUACCAUCAGUUAAUUUUAAAGUUGAAAAACUUUUUACAGUAUAUUAGCUCUUAUAAUUUGUAAAGUUCACUCGUAAUAGUGAUUUUUAGUCUAUGUUGCUCGUGUGAUGAUACAAAUGUCAUUAAUGUUAUAAUACUAUAUGAACUCUUAUGAAUAAGAAGAUGAUAAACAUUAGUAAAAAAUAUGAAAAGAAGAGUAGGUCCUCACCCGAAAUUAACUUGAUGGUGAACAGAUUUUGCAUCAAUGAACGAAAGUGAGAAACUCAGCCUCUUAUUUGGUUAGUAUAUCUUUUUCCCUUUCUUGGGUUAUCUCUCUGUCUAAAGGUUAACAAUAAAGAUAGAAAUGUGAAUUUGAUGAAGAUAUGCAGUCGAUAGUAACAGAAGAGCUCUUUCAAGAUUUUGGGAGAAGUGACAGGAGAAUAAAGGAAGGAGCUUAAAACGUACUGGCGGUAUAAAAAAAUUUACACAAUCGGGUCACUUGUAAGAUCAUUACAAUAAGAUUGUAUGAUAAUUAUUAAAUGGUGAUCUGCUAAAAAUGGUUGUACUUGCUAUCACAGCUUAAACUAUACUGAUAACGUAAAAAUUAUUUUACACUAGAAUAUAGUGAAUUCCAUCCAUUUUCUAUUUCCUACGAUGCUUAUAUUAUCUUUCUGAUUUUUGUUGUUGUCAUAGAUUCUAUUGUCUAUUUUCUUCUUCUUGAGCCGAGGAUUUUUUGGAAACAACCUUUCUAUCCCUCCGGGAUAGGGGUAACAUCUGCAUACAUUCUAC